rnacentral:tRNA from 1 species
GCCGUUAGCUCAGUUGGCUAGAGCGCUGCCUUCACACGGCAGAGGUCACUGGUUCGAAUCC